AGAAUCAACGCUGGCGGCGUGCCUAACACAUGCAAGUCGAACGAGAAAGUGGAGCAAGUCCACGAGUAAAGUGGCGCACGGGUGAGUAACACGUGACUAACCUACCCUUGAGUGGGGAAUAACCGUCGGGAAACCGGGGCUAAUACCGCAUAACACCUACGGGUCAAAGGAGCAAUUCGCUUAAGGAGGGGGUCGCGGCAGAUUAGUUAGUUGGCGGGGUAAUGGCCCACCAAGACGGUGAUCUGUAUCC
rnacentral:rRNA from 1 species